rnacentral:rRNA from 1 species
GCUACGGGAGGCUGCAGUGGGGGAUAUUGGACACUGGGGGAAACCCUGAUCCAGCGACGCCGCGUGAGUGAAGAAGUAUUUCGGUAUGUACAGCUCUAUCAGCAGGGAAGAAAGAAAUGACGGUACCUGAGUAAGAAUCCCCGGCUAACUACGUGCCAGCAGCCGCGGUAAUCUGUAGGGGGCAAGCGUUAUCCGGAAUUACUGGGUGUAAAGUGAGCUUAGACGGUACUGCAAGUAUGUAGGGAAAGGCAGGGGCCCAACCCCCGGACUCCUCUGUAACAUGUGUAACUGGAGGGAAGGAGAGGCAGGCGGAAUUCCUAGUGGAGCGGUGAAAUGAGUAGAUAUUAGGAGGAACACCAGUGGCGAAGGCAGCUUACUAAACUGUGACUGACAUUGAUGAUCGAAAGUGUGGGUAUCAAACAGGAUUAGAUACCCCGGUAGUC